AAUAAAUAAAUUUCUGAGUUUUUAUUAAACUUUUGACUUUUCGUCUUAUUUGAAAUUUUUUAUGAUUAAUAUUUUUAUUGUUAUUACAUGAUAAAACAUGAAUAGUACUUUGCAUGCGACUAAUUUUUUUUAAUUUUUUAAUAAAAUUUUCAAAUAAGACAGAUGGUCAAACGCUCCAUAGAUAAAACUCAGA
rnacentral:pre_miRNA from 1 species